rnacentral:rRNA from 1 species
UACGGAGGGUGCAAGCAUUAAUCGGAAUUAUUGGGCGUGAAGGGCGCGUAGGCUGAAUUGUAAGUCAGAUGUGAAAUACCAAAGCUUAACUUUGGUGCUGCAUUUGAAACUGCAAAUCUAGAGGAUAGACGGAGAAGACGGAAUUCCACGUGUAGCGGUGAAAUGCGUGGAUAUGUGGAAGAACACCUGUGGCGAAAGCGGUUUUCUAGUUUAUUCCUGACGCUGAGGCGCGAGAGCAAGGGGAGCGAACAGG